AUACUCUUCACUUUCUCCCCUUCGCUCGACGGAAAAUGAGUCAGGGAAUGUCUGGUGCUCUUCUUCUUCUUGCUUUUGUUAUGGUUGCAACCAGCAAAUGGCGCGUGGUGGCGGAGCUGCACCAUGUCGUUGGUGGUGAUCGUGGCUGGGAUCCCAAUUCUGACCUCCUUUCAUGGUCUAAUCACAGGGUCUUUAGGGUCGGAGACCAAAUCUGGUUCACAUACUCAGUGGCACAGGGACUAAUAGCUGAAGUGGAAAGCAGAGAAGAAUAUGAAGCAUGUGAUGUGAGGAACCCUAUCAAGAUGUACAACGAGGGAUUCCAUAUCGGUGAGUUAUAGCAUGCACCGGUCCAAUUGAAGAAAAUGAUGUACCGUAUUUUUUCUAUAUCGAUGUCCAAUUUGAGAGAGUGCCACGCGUAGAUGAGGUACGGUGGCAUUGUAUGUGUCUGGUGCAAUGUUCACCGGUGAAGGGAGGGAGGGAUUAAUGGGUGGAUUUUGUAUUUGGCCUCCAUUGAGGGAUGGUUUGUAACUGGAAAAAAAUUAUGGGGUGGAACUGAAAUCGGUUUUUUAGUGGGCUGGUGAAGUUGUUUGGUCCAGUUAUGGCCUAUAUUAUGUUAAAAUUUGUGGGCUUCAUUUUUUUUAUUUCGAAAAAAAAAUAAAUUUCAAGGGAACGGGAACAAAAAUUCCAAGGAGGAAUUGAACUUCAUAAAUUUGAUGAAACGUUAAUAAUCAUGUGUGACCACAAAAAAGAAAAGAAAAAGGUUUACAACCAAGCACCUAAUUUCGAAUGGACAAUAAAUGUUUGGGAGUUUAUAUAUAGGCACAUGGAGUUCACAUUCCAACACUUCAGUCUGAAGGAUAGGAGAGAUGGAGGAGAAAAUGCAAUGCUUCUUGUUCAUUACCGUUACGAAGGGGCACAAGCCCGGUGUAUACACGAGUUGGGAGGAGGCGAACCAGCAAGUUGUGGAUUUUAUGGUUCCUGAGUUUCACGGAUUCAAUAGUAUUGAACACGCUUGCUCAUGCUUCAAAGCGAGGAUGUCGUCCAUUUGUGCUGAGAAAGGUGGUUGUGGUAAGACUGUUAGAGUGAGGGCGGAUGGAGGUGGAGGCAAGAAAUUGGCUAUCUCCGGCAGAGGCUAUCCUUGCCGGCCAGUUGUUUCAUGGCUUCCUGUAAUUCCGGUCGAGGAGCUUAACGAGAUUUCGCAGUUGUGAGCAGCAUGGAGGAGUGAUUGCUGAAAGUUUGUCUGGAGGCAGAGAUCCCUUGCCCUUGUUUCUUCAAGAUGGAACGAUUUGUCGGAGAGCAAAGCCCGUUCUUUGGCUUCACGGUUGUUAUUUCUGGGCAUCCAUUUGAGAUAGAGCUAUUUGUCACUGGUCGUUUCUCGAUGGUUGAAAAAGCUGCAAGAGAAGAUGCUGCUUAUGAGAUGCUAUGCGUGUUGCUUGAUGUAACUGGAAAAGAGAUUCAGGAUUAUAACUACAGAAAGGCGAAGCUUCUUGGUGACUCAAAUAACGUGCUUCGAGCUAGGGUAGGUCAACUGGAAGAAUCUUACGAGAAGCUGAAGGCCAGUUACGAUUCUCUUGUAAGACGCCAUGUCGAAGGAGAAAGAGUUUGAUGUGUGUGUUCUGAAUGUGUCGUUUGUGUUUGGUUAUGUUGUAAUUGUUCAGUUAUUGUUGUGUGUCUUUUACUUUCGGUGAUUAAAGCGCAAAGUAGUAUGUAAUAUGUUUUAGUUUGUUGUUGAAUGGCAAGGUUUAGUAGAUAAUGUGGGAAAAUUUGUGUUAAUUACUGAUGAUCAUGUUAUGAUUAAUGAUGUUACCUUAUAAUACAACGAAGUACGAUUCGGGUGGA